rnacentral:rRNA from 1 species
AUUGUAGUCUGCAACCCGACUACAUGAAGCUGGAAUCGCUAGUAAUCGCGAAUCAGCAUGUCGCGGUGAAUACGUUCCCGGGUCUUGUACACACCGCCCGUCACACCAUGGGAGUUGGCAACGCCCGAAGCCAGUGACCCAACCGAGAGGAGGGAGCUGUCGAAGGCGGGGCCGGUAACUGGGGUGAAGUCGUAACAAGGUAAC